UAAUGGGCUCUGCAUAGAUGG
rnacentral:miRNA from 1 species